AGAGAUCCUGAUAAGAACGGACUGCCAAACCAUAAUCAGCUUUUUCAACAAAUCGGCUCAAAAUAAACCAUCAAGAGUCCGAUGGAUGACAUUCAUUGAUUAUAUCACCGGAAGUGGGGUUGAAGUCCAAUUCGAACACAUCGAAGGGACAAGUAACAUCCUCGCCGACUCCUUAUCUAGAUUAAUCAACAUUCUUUUAAAUGCAGGAUGGAGGGAAGAACAAAAGGACCAACUAUCACUAUUGGCGGAAGCAACCCAAGAACUUAAGGCCAAGCCCAACCCAAAGGCGGAAGCCUUUCUGAAUCAAAUAGCCUGCAAAAUAAUAACCUCCUAUUCCAGUACACCGAUAAGCUCACCUGCCUUCAAAAGGGAAAGAAAAGGUUACUUAAUGAUGAAGACUCCACAAAGAGGACACUCGGAAUCCUACAACAAAAGGCAGCAGAACAAGCAAUCAAUGCCUUGCAGCAAUACAGAGACAUCCACUCACUAUCACUAUUGGCGGAAGCAACCCAAGAACUCAAGGCCAAGCCCAACCCAAAGGCGGAAGCCUUUCUGAAUCAAAUAGCUUGCAAAAUAAUAACCUCCUAUUCCAGUACACCGAUAAGCUCACCUGCCUUCAAAAGGGAAAGAAAAGGUUACUUAAUGACGAAGGCUCCACAAAGAGGACAUUCGGAAUCCUACAACAGAAG
rnacentral:lncRNA from 1 species